UCCCGCUUCAGGCACAGCUCUUCCAUUCCCGCCUCAGGCACCGCCCCGCCCCUGCCGCCUCAGACCCCGCCCCGCCAUUCCCUCCUCAGGCACCGCCUUGUAGGGGUGGUGAAGACGUUGGACGUGGAGAGGAUUCCUGCUUGUCUCUCUGUCGCUGGGAGAGGCGGCGCUUGUGGUGGCUCCCCUUGGGCUGGUGACUGACAUUCCUGCCUGGAUGCUGCUGGCUGCUGCUGUUGUCUGUCAGGAGAAUCUCCUGGAUGCUGCUAAUGUGAAAUCUGUUCAGCAAGAGAAUUCAACAUUUGAGGAUUACCUAGAAAUUUUCAUUUUGAUCCAGCAUGAGCUAAGACAACUUCAAUGAGGCCAGAGGCUUUUCACCCAAAAGCAGACCACAGGAAUUCUGAGAGUGAAGCUGAAUGAAACCAUGGAACUGAGUCAGAAUUUCAUGAACCUAUGGGAUGGAUGUCAUGAGUGAAGACCAAGGUGCUGUUAACUAUAUGUUAAGCAUCAUCUUACUGGGAACAUGCUUAACCUGCCAAAAGCUCUUCUGAACUCUGACUGCAAACCAUUCCAAAGUCCAAAUUUCUCAUGCAAAUGCCAUAUGACCUCAGUUUUGCUGUAAGAAAACAAGAACUCUGUUGGAGAUAAACCUGCCCUGAGCUGUGCCUUCAGACGUGUAGUACAUGCCCAGGACAAGAGGCUCAGCAGGCUCCAGUGCUUGCACACUCCUCCUGAAACACUCAGAAAAUCAAAAUGUAAGUGUUUCGGCUUUGUAAGUAGCAACUGGGAUUUUUCUGUUACUCCUAACAUAGCUGAUUAGGAAUGGCUUUUCCUGGGGACAAAGAUACCAUUCUAACUUGAGGAUUGUCUCACUGCCAGAAUUCAAGCUCCUCUUA